rnacentral:tRNA from 1 species
CGAGGUAGCUCAGUGGUAGAGCAGUGGACUGAAAAUCCGCGUGUCGGCGGUUCAAGUCCGCCCC